UGGCGGCAACAAGACCACAGAGAGCUAAAAGAAAUCCUAAACAAGAUGCUGUUUAUUAUUGCUCCUUAGGUGAAGAUAAGGAAGGAUUUGAUGUCAAAUAUAUUGAUUCAUUUAAAGAUUUCCAAUGAGAUGCCAUGUCAGCCUGCUGAUGUGGACCAAUGCAGUUCUAUUGCAGACAACAUUCCAGAGAGAUUCCUUGCCAGCCCACUGUGGUGG